UCAUGACCUGAGCCGAAGGCAGGCGCUUAACGACUGAGCCACCCAGGCGCCCCUUCUACCCCUUAAUCCACACCUAUUUAUUAAGUUUAACUUACGGACUAACAUCAAGAGCAGUGGCUGUAAAUAUUCUUCUGAUUAAAUGAAAGAGUUGAUUUAUCAUGAAGAUCACAUUUAAUUUUCCAAUAAGAACAAAGUAGGUAAAUCCCACAUAGCAUUUGUUUCUGGGGGGGAAACGCUUUAAUAGCUAUGUGAUCAUUUUUUUAACUGAUAAUAAAUAUUAAAAAUUGAAAUAGCUCUCAGAGGUUAUCUCACUUUGUCCAGUGCAGGAAUCCUUCUGAAGUAGUCUGGACAGACGGUCAUCUCCCUAUGUUUGGACACUUCAGUGAGGAGUAGCUUACUAUUUUAGAUCUCCAUAGAUGACAUCAUCACUUUAUAGGUGUUGAAGUUAUGGGAUGGCUGUUUUCCUAACGAGUUGUCAUGUUUGAGCAAACACAGCCUUUUAAAUAGUAUUGGGGAGCUUGUUUCCUAAGGGAAUCCUGUGAUAAAAGCUUUUGAACAAAGUUCUUCAUAUUGUUGGUCUCCUUUCUUUUCUUCUUAGAAUGCAGUAUACCUGUAUUUUAAGUGAUAGCUUAAAAAUACUAAUUUGUAGAACACAAAUGUUUGGAAGUAUUUUAUUUCUAAAGGCAUUGUUGUUAAGGCCAAAAGAGAAUUCAGUUAGCGCUGAAAAGCGUUUGUCCCCUUGGUGACAAUGCCUUGCAUUAAUCUAGGUCAGGGGGAGAAAUGGGAUAACAGGCCUUUUAAGAGGACUCUCCUCUUUCUCCCUCACAUGGAGCCAGGAUUUGUUACUGAGUAUUUAAAUCUGAUUCUCUCUGUAGAUUGCUGCUAAAAUUGAUUCAGUUCCUCACUUGAAUAAUUCUACACCUCUAGUGGACCCCUCAGUGUAUGGAUACGGAGUACAGAAACGGCCCUUGGAUGACGGAGUAGGUAACCAGUUAGGGGCCUUGGUACAUCAAAGGGCAGUAAUAACAGAAGAAUUCAAAGUGCCUGAUAAAAUGGUUGGAUUUAUUAUCGGCAGGGGAGGUGAGCAGAUUUCACGGAUUCAAGCAGAAUCUGGUUGCAAAAUUCAGAUUGCUUCAGAGAGUUCUGGGAUUCCAGAGAGGCCCUGUGUACUUACCGGAACCCCAGAAAGUAUUGAACAAGCCAAACGGCUCCUGGGGCAGAUCGUGGACCGCUGUCGGAACGGACCUGGCUUUCAUAACGACAUAGACGGCAAUAGCACGAUCCAGGAAAUUCUUAUCCCUGCGUCUAAAGUGGGUCUGGUCAUCGGCAAAGGAGGGGAAACAAUCAAGCAGUUGCAGG